rnacentral:rRNA from 1 species
AGCUGGCGGCAGGCCUAACACAUGCAAGUCGAGCGGAUGAGAAGAGCUUGCUCUUCGAUUCAGCGGCGGACGGGUGAGUAAUACCUAGGAAUCUGCCUGGUAGUGGGGGGCAACGUUUGCAAAGGAACGCUAAUACCGCAUACGUCCUACGGGAGAAAGCAGGGGACCUUCGGGCCUUGCGCUAUCAGAUGAGCCUAGGUCGGAUUAGCUAGUUGGUGAGGUAAUGGCUCACCAAGGUUACGAUCCGUAACUGGUCUGAUAGGAUGAUCAGUCACAGCGGAACUGAGACACGGUCCAGACUCCUACGGGAGGCAGCAGUGGGGAAUAUUGGACAAUGGGCGAAAGCCUGAUCC